UACGAAGGGGGCUAGCGUUGCUCGGAAUCACUGGGCGUAAAGCGCACGUAGGCGGAUCUUUAAGUCAGGGGUGAAAUCCUGAAGCUCAACUCCAGAACUGCCUUUGAUACUGGGGAUCUCGAGUCCGGGAGAGGUGAGUGGAACUGCGAGUGUAGAGGUGAAAUUCGUAGAUAUUCGCAAGAACACCAGUGGCGAAGGCGACUACCUGGCCUGUUCUUGACGCUGAGGCGCGAAAGCUAGGGGAGCAAACGGG
rnacentral:rRNA from 1 species